rnacentral:rRNA from 1 species
AUUGAACGCUGGCGGCAGGCCUAACACAUGCAAGUCGAGCCGCAGCGGGAAAGUAGCUUGCUACUUUUGCCGGCGAUCGGCGCACGGGUGAGUAAAGCCUGGGGAUUUGCCCAGUCGCGGGGGAUAACUACUGGAAACGGUAGCCAAUACCGCAUACGCCAUAAGGGGGAACGCAGGGGCCCUUCGGGCCUUGAGCGAUUGGAUGAACCCAGGUGGGAUUAGCUAGUUGGUAAGGUAACGGCUCACCAAGGCGACGAUCCCUAUCUGGUCUGAGAGGAUGAGCAGCCACACUGGAACUGAGACACGGUCCAGACUCCUACGGGAGGCAGCAGUGGGGAAUAUUGCACAAUGGGGAAAACCCUGAUGCAGCCAUGCCGCGUGUGUGAAGAAGGCCUUCGGGUUGUAAAGCACUUUCAGCGAGGAGGAAAGGUUGGUAGCUAAUAACUGCCAGCUGUGACAGUACUCGCAGAGGAAGCACCGGCUAACUCCGUGCCAGCCGCCGCGUAACAC